rnacentral:rRNA from 1 species
AUUGAACGCUGGCGGCAUGCUUUACACAUGCAAGUCGAACGGCAGCGGGGAGGAGCUUGCUUCUCUGCCGGCGAGUGGCGAACGGGUGAGUAAUACAUCGGAACGUGUCGAGAAGAGGGGGAUAACCACCCGAAAGGGUGGCUAAUACCGCAUAAAUUCUGAGGAAGAAAGCUGGGGACCUAGGAAUAGGCCUAGCGCUUUUUGAGCGGCCGAUGUCGGAUUAGCUAGUUGGUGAGGUAAAGGCUCACCAAGGCGAAGAUCUGUAGCGGGUCUGAGAGGAUGAUCCGCCACACUGGGACUGAGACACGGCCCAGACUCCUACGGGAGGCAGCAGUGGGGAAUUUUGGACAAUGGGGGCAACCCUGAUCCAGCCAUGCCGCGUGUAUGAAGAAGGCCUUAGGGUUGUAAAGUACUUUUGUUAGGGAAGAAAAGUCAGCUGUGAAUAAUGGCUGAUACUGACGGUACCUAAAGGAUAAGCACCGGCUAACUACGUG